UUUUCUCUUUAAGGUGGCACCCACAGCAUUUGGGAAGUUCAGGUCCAGUGACUGAAUCUGAGCCGCAGCUAUAACCGACACCACUGCUGGGGCAACGCCACAUCCUUGAACUCAUUGUGUCCAGCCAGAGCUCAAACCCGCACCUCCACUGCAACACGAGCCACUGAAGUGAGGUUCCUAACCCACCGUACCACAGUGGGAACUCCUGAAAUAACAUGACUUCAUUUUAUUAGAUAUGUCUUCUGAGUCAGAAACUCCAUGCCUGGCAUUUGUCCUCUUCUUUUUACUAUCUGUUGUGGUUUCCUUAACAUUUACAUGACUCUUUGUAAAUUCACUUUUCAGGAGAACUUCAGGAUGAAAACGCCAGUCUUCGGAAAACAAAUGGUAACAUUUCUGAUAUCCCAUCACCCCAGUGCUCUUGAGCCCCUCUGAAGCGACUGGUUCAGCCUUUCCUCUUGUCUGCCGUUUCAUCUGUUUCGCUUGUGUCGGCAUGCCUUUCUCUUGCACGUCCUGUCUACGAGCUCCACCUCAAUGUUUUGCGUGGGACUUGUCCCACGUUCCUUCUGUCCAUUUCUGUUUGCCUACCUCCUCUGCUCUGCCAUUCCUGCUCUUUGCAAUGCAUGCCAUGCCCUCCCGCUAAGGACUGGCUUUGCUUCGGUCUUUCAGGCACUUGCCACAGUUUCAUGAAGUUGGUGAGAUGCAAAGCAUUACGCAGAUAGGGAGAUGGUUUCUCUUCCACGUGUGUUUCUCAACAACAUCCAAACACAGGGGCUCUGUCGGGACUUCCAAGUCAGAGGGGCCAUUCCUGCACAAGGGAUAGCUCUUCAAAGACUUAAGAGAUGGGAGAUGGCCCCAAAACGGCUCAGUUAAUGCCCUCUGCCCACUGCCCUUUCAAAGCCUAAGUAGUAUAUGCUAUCAUCCAUCGGUCAAGAGUGUGCCAGGGCGCCCCUCUUCCACUGGCCUUACCCCUGGGAACCAAGUAUUCCCAGGUAUGAACAUGUUACUUCAGUUUGCCUGCUGUUCUAAACAAAAGCCAGGCCUACCGGUUGUGUCAUUUUGUGUGUCUCAGAGUUCUGAAAUGUCAGUUCUCCCUGACAUAGGCUGUUGAAAAUUUAGAGCAAUCUUCAGUUGCACGUGUAACACAUCUUUUCGGUUCCUUUUGGGUUACUCGCUUUUAGAAUGAUUAGCUUUCCUCCCCCGAAGUUAGGUGAGAUGGCAUUAUUAGCCUUUUUUGUUUUGUAAGGGCCACACCCACCGGCACAGGGACAUUCCCAGGCUAGGGGCUGAAUGGGAGCUGUAGCCGCCGGCCUACACCACAGAAGCAGCAAGGCCGGUACCAGCCACCCCUGCGAACCACACACCACAGCCCAUGGCCACGCCAGAGCCUUAACCUCCUGAGCGAGGGCCGGGAUGGAACCUGUGUCCUCCUGGA
rnacentral:lncRNA from 1 species